CGAACGCUGGCGGCGUGCCUAAUACAUGCAAGUAGAACGCUGAGGUUUGGUGUUUACACUAGACUGAUGAGUUGCGAACGGGUGAGUAACGCGUAGGUAACCUGCCUCAUAGCGGGGGAUAACUAUUGGAAACGAUAGCUAAUACCGCAUAAGAGUAAUUAACACAUGUUAGUUAUUUAAAAGGAGCAAUUGCUUCACUGUGAGAUGGACCUGCGUUGUAUUAGCUAGUUGGUGAGGUAAAGGCUCACCAAGGCGACGAUACAAAGCCGACCUGAGAGGGUGAUCGGCCACACUGGGACUGAGACACGGCCCAGACUCCUACGGGAGGCAGCAGUAGGGAAUCUUCGGCAAUGGACGGAAGUCUGACCGAGCAACGCCGCGUGAGUGAAGAAGGUUUUCGGAUCGUAAAGCUCUGUUGUUAGAGAAGAACGUUGGUAGGAGUGGAAAAUCUACCAAGUGACGGUAACUAACCAGAAAGGGACGGCUAACUACGUGCCAGCAGCCGCGGUAAUACGUAGGUCCCGAGCGUUGUCCGGAUUUAUUGGGCGUAAAGCGAGCGCAGGCGGUUCUUUAAGUCUGAAGUUAAAGGCAGUGGCUUAACCAUUGUACGCUUUGGAAACUGGAGGACUUGAGUGCAGAAGGGGAGAGUGGAAUUCCAUGUGUAGCGGUGAAAUGCGUAGAUAUAUGGAGGAACACCGGUGGCGAAAGCGGCUCUCUGGUCUGUAACUGACGCUGAGGCUCGAAAGCGUGGGGAGCAAACAGGAUUAGAUACCCUGGUAGUCCACGCCGUAAACGAUGAGUGCUAGGUGUUAGGCCCUUUCCGGGGCUUAGUGCCGCAGCUAACGCAUUAAUCACUCCG
rnacentral:rRNA from 1 species